rnacentral:rRNA from 1 species
UACGGAGGGUGCAAGCGUUGCUCGGAAUCACUGGGCGUAAAGCGACCGCAGGCGGCCUGACAAGUCGGAUGUGAAAGCCCUGGGCUCAACUCAGGAACUGCAUUCGAAACUGGUAGGCUUGAGUACGGGAGAGGGGGGUGGAAUUCCUGGUGUAGGGGUGAAAUUCGUUGAUAUCAGGAGGAACACCGGCGGCGAAGGCGGCCCCCUGGCCCGCAACUGACGCUCAUGGUCGAAAGCGUGGGGAGCAAACAGG